rnacentral:rRNA from 1 species
AGAGUUUGAUCAUGGCUCAGAACGAGCGCUGGCGGCGUGCUUAACACAUGCAAGUCGAGUGCGCGUGCCGUAGCAAUACGGUAUGGCGCACGGCGCACGGGUGCGUAACACGUGGGCAAUCUGCCCUCCGAUGGGGAAUAACUCCGGGAAACCGAAGCUAAUUCCGCAUAACAUUCCUUGGACUCCGGUCCGGGGAUUCAAAGCAGCAAUGCGUCGGAGGAGGAGCCCGCGCCCGAUUAGCUAGUUGGUGAGGUAACGGCUCACCAAGGCUAUGAUCGGUAGCUGGUCUGAGAGGAUGGCCAGCCACACUGGAACUGAGACACGGUCCAGACUCCUACGGGAGGCAGCAGUGGGGAAUCUUGCGCAAUGGGCGAAAGCCUGACGCAGCGACGCCGCGUGGGGGAUGAAGCUUCUCGGAGUGUAAACCCCUUUCGACCGGGACGAAUGCCCGCAAGGGAGUGACGGUACCGGUAGAAGAAGCCCCGGCUAACUACGUGCCAGCAGCCGCGGUAAGACGUAGGGGGCCAGCGUUGUUCGGAAUUACUGGGUGUAAAGGGUUCGUAGGCGGUGUGGCAAGUCGGGAGUGAAAUUUCUGGGCUUAACUCAGAACCUGCUUCCGAAACUGCUGUGCUCGAGUGUGGGAGAGGCGCGUGGAAUUGCAGGUGUAGCGGUGAAAUGCGUAGAUAUCUGCAGGAACACCCGUGGCGAAAGCGGCGCGCUGGACCACUACUGACGCUGAGGAACGAAAGCUAGGGGAGCAAACAGGAUUAGAUACCCUAGUAGUCC